GAUGAACGCUGGCGGCGUGCCUAAUACAUGCAAGUCGAGCGAACGGACGAGAAGCUUUCUCCUUUGAUGUUAGCGGCGGACGGGUGAGUAACACGUGGAUAACCUACUUAUAAGACUGGGAUAACUUCGGGAAACCGUAGCUAAUACCGGAUAAUACUUUGAACCGCAUGGUUCAAAAGUGAAAGACGGUCUUGCUGUCACUUAUAGAUGGAUCCGCGCUGCAUUAGCUAGUUGGUAAGGUAACGGCUUACCAAGGCGACGAUGCAUAGCCGACCUGAGAGGAUGAUCGGCCACACUGGAACUGAGACACGGUCCAGACUCCUACGGGAGGCAGCAGUGGGGAAUCUUCCGCAAUGGGCGAAAGCCUGACGGAGCAACGCCGCGUGAGUGAUGAAGGUCUUCGGAUCGUAAAGCUCUGUUAUUAGGGAAGAACAUAUGUGUAAGUAACUCUGGACAUCUUGACGGUACCUAAUCAGAAAGCCACGGCUAACUACGUG
rnacentral:rRNA from 1 species